rnacentral:rRNA from 1 species
UGCCCCUUAUGAUUUGGGCUACACACGUGCUACAAUGGACAAUACAAAGGGCAGCGAAACCGCGAGGUCAAGCAAAUCCCAUAAAGUUGUUCUCAGUUCGGAUUGUAGUCUGCAACUCGACUACAUGAAGCUGGAAUCGCUAGUAAUCGUAGAUCAGCAUGCUACGGUGAAUACGUUCCCGGGUCUUGUACACACCGCCCGUCACACCACGAGAGUUUG